AAACAAAGACAAAAUGAUGUCACUACAUUAAACGCGUCAAGAGAUCAUCGGAUUUUCGAAGAAUUCCUAAUCACAACGAAAAACUCCGCGAAAAAUCAAACCUAAAAUUCAUUAGCAUAAUCGUAAAACAGGUUUUUAGAUGUCUUCUCUGCGGAUUUAGAGGAAAACGGUGCGAAAACUCUGUGUGUACCUUCAAAUAAAGCUUAAUUAUGGGACUCUGAAGUAGCUUCGUACAAGCUGAAGAUAAUUACUCGGCUUCAGAUCCCGCGAUUCAAGCUGCGCAUACCGGGGAUAUCAAACACUGAAACAAAUAUAUUGACAACACAAAUAUCGAAAUCGACACAAAAAAUUCAAAUAGGAUCAAGCCUGUAUGAAACAAAUUGACUUUUUGGCGGGAACGCGAGGAGUGAAGUUGUGUGAUUUGUUCUAUUUUGUCUAUUUAGUGUUUCUUCGAGUUUAAAUGUGUAAUAAUGGUGGUUUAUUUACUGUUUAAUAUCUGUGAAAGUGCACAAAUGUGGGAAAAUGAAACAAAGCCGCUGGACGUAACUUCUCGGGAUCCUCCAAAAAGUCCACUGAAAAAAUCUUAGUAAAUGACCACCAUUUUACUGAGAUUAUAUUUCAUCCCAUUUCAUUUAAUUUCAUCCCAGUUGAUUAAUGUCUCAAAUUAAUGAUCUUCAUUUCAUUUCACUCCAUAUAUAAUAUUAUUUUUCAUACAAAUAUGAAUAUAAAUUAAAAUAAGAUAUAACUUAAAGGUCUCAGUUACCAGGUCAUAAAAUCCCUUAAAAAAAAUGAAACAAAUUUGUUGUUCAAUGAAAGAUAUCUUUUUUGUAAGUUUACUGGUGGUUUUUUUUUAUUUUGCUCAGGAGGAAAUCGCCGGACUCCCAACCUCCACUAGGGAUGGCGGGCGGGGUAUGUCGGAGUCCUCUACUAGUCUAAAAUCUCCUGUCACUCAACAACCCACGUCCGAACCUCGCAUGAGACAGAACUCAUAAAAAAGAAAAGGGGGGAGAGUGAAACGUUUAGUGCGGAGCACAUCUCUCACUCACAUCACCCUCUCCCUUUACUGGUGGAUAGCAUGUAUUGUAAAUCCGCAUAAGUCCCUACCCUGCUUAUUUCUGUUGUGAAGCAGUCACAUCUCCGAUUGGAAGAAUGGCUGUUGUAUAACUAAAUAUAUAUAAAGUCACAACAUAGACUUGUCUUAGCAUGCGUGACGGCAUUAACAUUAUGAUAUUUAUGACAUCUUGUAACCAUAAUAAUAUAAUAACGGGUGAACUGUGAAUCUGUCCAUUGCUGUAGCUCUGUUUCCUCUAACCAACUUCCAGUCACAGUAUUGGCAGUCAGACAUGACUACUGCAAACCUAACCAUUUGGUACCACCUUCUUGCCUAUUUUUGCCAUUAAUUCUAGUUGGAACAGAGAAUACUGCGCAUUUCAAUGAAAUUAAAAGUCCAUUUUAAAAUGCUGUGCGGGUCACAAUUGACUCGGAACUCUGGUAGCCGUUUGGCACAAAAAAUUGAGCUCAUGUGUCUAUCCAUUAAGAAAAAAGUAAUUGAGACAAACAUUACAAGCAAACCAUUUGAUAUUGGUAAUAUCAUAAUAUUGCAAGGCCUGUUUCAUUAAGACUAUAUUGAGAGGUGAAAGGCUAUUUGGUUUAACCGACAUUUCACUUAAUACACAACAUUAACUUUGUAAUUCAAAGUGUGUUUUAUUUUGUAUUAGCAUCAACAGUUCGAUGUUUUAAUUGAACUUCAAUUAAGUUAACUCCAUUCAAAUAGCUGAAGAAUUUGUUUCUUAUGAUAUUUUUUCUAAAUUUUAAAUUUUAAUUGGUUUCCUGUAUCGUUGCAAUAACUUCACUUAACCCACAUAGCCUUUCACCCCUCUAUAUGUACAAGAAUCAUGUACUCAAAACCUAAUCCGUACAGUACAAUACAAACUUGACCAAAUAACUAAUCUCUAGAAAGAAAUUAUUGAAUGACCUAAUAUGUACACUACAAUUUCAAUAACUCGGAAACUCUCAUAGUAAUGAAGUAUAUCUGAAGAAAAAUAGUGUUGCUCUGAUAAAUUCACUAGUGGUUUCGUUGAAUACGUUCCCUAAUUGACCUUUUUCUUUAACAUUACCUUGAUAGUGUUUAAAAUAAAAGCUUAAGUCUUAAAAAAUAAAAAGUUACCAUGGAUGUACUUUUCAAGUUAUUUUUCCAAUUUAUAUAUUAAACAAAUGAAUAUUUGGA